UACGGAGGUUGCAAGCGUUGUUCGGAAUAACUGGGCGUAAAGGGAGCGCAGGCGGUCCGGCCAGUCUGAAGUGAAAUCCCAGGGCUCAACUCUGGACGUGCUUCGGAUACUAUCGGACUUGAGUACGUGAGAGGAGAUUGGAAUUCCAGGUGUAGCGGUGAAAUGCGUAGAUAUCUGGAGGAACACCGGUGGCGAAAGCGGAUCUCUGGCACGUUACUGACGCUCAGGCUCGAAAGCGUGGGGAG
rnacentral:rRNA from 1 species